AUAUUUUUUUUCUUCUUAAUUCUUCUUCUUCUUUAAUUUGCUUAUAUAUAUAAUCUAUCUUGAUGUUGCAGGAGGAGAUCACCAAGGAGUUUGAGGAGAGGAAGAUUGAACUCGAAGCUAAGGCUCUAGAGAUCUAUCAGGCCUCAGAUGCUGAUAUCAAGGUCUGCAUUACUUGUCAAAGUUAAAUUUGAUCGAAAUUCCAUAAAGAACAAGUGGUUCCUCUCCUAUCAAGGCUAGGCAACUGCAGUGCAAGAUUGUUUCAACAAACUUGGUUGGUUCAUUAAUCCGUAUGAAGUAAUUCAUCUCAUGGAGUUCGAGACAAGGGAGGCCAAAGGGAAGAAAUCAUAGACAUGCAUGCUACUAGCAAAAGGAUAUGAAGACAUUAUUGAAAGUAACAAAGUAUUGAACUUCUUAUCACAAAAAAUGGGAAGAAAAGUUUAUCAAGUAAGGUAGGCAAAGCAAAGAAAAGGAGAAGGUUUGUAAAAUGAUUCAAAAGGUGAAAUAUUCAAAUCAUUUAUAUCUAGGAGGAUCUGAUCUCUGUGAUCAUGAGCGUCGUGAUAGAAUGUAAAGAUUAGAUUACUUAAGGUGAGAUUUAAAAAUUUA